AUGGACGCCCCGCAGGCUGCCCGGCCCUCCAGCCAUCCCUCCCUGCUGCGGUUCCUCAGAAGCCUCCUUGGGUACCCGCGGAGCUCAGUGGGGGCACAGGAGCCCCAGGCAGAGCAGCAGGAGCAGGGUGCUGCCGGAGGGUCCCACAGCUGGCAAACAGAGCGGGUUGAGCCCACCCGAGGGGGGAUCCCAUGCCAGGAGCACUGCGAGGAUGAGGAGGGAGACAGCACGGAGCUGCUGCUGGGGGAGCUGCGGGAGGUCAGCCUGCAGGGAUCGCUGGGCAGCAGCACCAGCAGGAGCUGCCUGACCACCAGCACCAGCGACGUGGAACCGGUGGUGGAGGGCGAUGGGAUGGAGGCUCCUGGUGGCACCGUGGCCCUGCAGUGCAGCGGGGCAGCUGGCGAGGAGGAGGUGGCUGCAGAUGAAGCUGUUGUUGGCAGAGUUCUGGAGAUGGAUGAAUUCCUUCAAGGUCUGGGUGCUGCUGAUGAAGACACCUGCUCUGCAAGCCCUGAGCCAAUGUUUCCGAUGGAUCUUGACACUGAAUGGGAGAAAGGGCAACUCUUAAAAGCAAAUAAAGGGGCAGGAUCCCCAAAAGCAGAGCUGUCCCUUUGGAACAGGUUCAUCAACGUGAACAGACACCAGUGGACCUUGCGUAAGGCUCGUGCCUCCAGGAGCUCGAUGGAGCUGGAAAGUGAGGAGCAGCCGCUCCUGCGGGCAGCUGAGAUCAGACCCACGAGCCCUGAGCUCCCCGUGCUGCCCGCAGAGCCCUGUGCGGCGCUGCCGGUGUACAGGUUUUCCAGGAGCAGAGCGGCCGCUGGUGGCUUUGGGAGAAGCCAUGCAGAGCUGGGAGCGAACGGAGCAGGAAUGCCUGGAGAAGGCUGAG
rnacentral:lncRNA from 1 species